GACGAACGCUGGCGGCGUGCUUAACACAUGCAAGUCGAACGAUGAAGCCGGAGCUUGCUCUGGUGAAUUAGUGGCGAACGGGUGAGUAACACGUGAGUAACCUGCCCUUGACUCUGGGAUAACUGCGGGAAACUGUAGCUAAUACCGGAUACGACCCUCGGAGGCAUCUCCUGGGGGUGGAAAGAAUUUCGGUCAAGGAUGGACUCGCGGCCUAUCGGCUAGUUGGGGCGGUAAAGGCUCACCAAGGCGACGACGGGUAGCCGGCCUGAGAGGGUGACCGGCCACACUGGACUGAGACACGGCCCAGACUCCUACGGGAGGCAGCAGUGGGGAAUAUUGCACAAUGGGCGCAAGCCUGAUGCAGCAACGCCGCGUGAGGGAUGACGGCCUUCGGGUUGUAAACCUCUUUUAGCAGGGAAGAAGCGAAAGUGACGGUACCUGCAGAAAAAGCACCGGCUAACCACGUGCCAGCAGCCGCCGUAA
rnacentral:rRNA from 1 species